GACGGAGGAUGCAAGUGUUAUCCGGAAUCACUGGGCGUAAAGCGCGUGUAGGCGGAAGCCUAAGUCCGAUCUGAAAGCCCCUGGCUCAACCAGGGAUCCGGACCGGAAACUGGGCUUCUUGAGGACGGCAGGGGAGUGUGGAAUUCCUGGUGUAGCGGUGAAAUGCGUAGAGAUCAGGAGGAACACCCAUGGCGAAGGCAGCACUCUGGACCGGACCUGACGCUGAGACGCGAAAGCGUGGGGAGCGAACGGG
rnacentral:rRNA from 1 species